CCUACGGGAGGCAGCAGUGGGGAAUAUUGGACAAUGGGCGAAAGCCUGAUCCAGCAAUGCCGCGUGAGUGAUGAAGGCCUUAGGGUUGUAAAGCUCUUUUACCAGGGAUGAUAAUGACAGUACCUGGAGAAUAAGCUCCGGCUAACUCCGUGCCAGCAGCCGCGGUAAUACGGAGGGAGCUAGCGUUGUUCGGAAUUACUGGGCGUAAAGCGUACGUAGGCGGUUAUUCAAGUCAGAGGUGAAAGCCUGGAGCUCAACUCCAGAACUGCCUUUGAAACUAGAUAGCUAGAAUCUUGGAGAGGUGAGUGGAAUUCCGAGUGUAGAGGUGAAAUUCGUAGAUAUUCGGAAGAACACCAGUGGCGAAGGCGACUCACUGGACAAGUAUUGACGCUGAGGUACGAAAGCGUGGGGAGCAAACAGGAUUAGAUACCCUGGUAGUCCACGCCGUAAACGAUGAUAACUAGCUGUUCGGGCUCUACGAGCUUGAGUGGCGCAGCUAACGCAUUAAGUUAUCCGCCUGGGGAGUACGGUCGCAAGNUUAAAACUCAAAGGAUUGACGGCUGNGACGNGCGAGCGACACGAGGGAGAG
rnacentral:rRNA from 1 species